CGCGUAGGUGGUUGAGUCAGUCAGAUGUGAAAGCCCCGGGCUUAACCUGGGAACUGCACCUGAUACUGCUUGACUAGAGUACGGUAGAGGGCAGUGGAAUUUCCUGUGUAGCGGUGAAAUGCGUAGAUAUAGGAAGGAACACCAGUGGCGAAGGCGACUGCCUGGACCGAUACUGACACUGAGGUGCGAAAGCGUGGGUAGCAAACA
rnacentral:rRNA from 1 species